UGCCAGCCGCCGCGGUAAUACGUAGGUGGCAAGCGUUUUCCGGAAUUAUUGGGCGUAAAGGGCUCGCAGGCGGUUUCUUAAGUCUGAUGUGAAAGCCCCCGGCUCAACCGGGGAGGGUCAUUGGAAACUGGGGAACUUGAGUGCAGAAGAGGAGAGUGGAAUUCCACGUGUAGCGGUGAAAUGCGUAGAGAUGUGGAGGAACACCAGUGGCGAAGGCGACUCUCUGGUCUGUAACUGACGCUGAGGAGCGAAAGCGUGGGGAGCGAACAGGAUUAGAUACCCGCGUAGUCC
rnacentral:rRNA from 1 species